GGCUUCGUUAUCGAAUGGUAAGGACAUUUGUCUCUCACUCUGGAGUCCCGGGUUCGAGUCCCGGUCGAGGAGCUA